CGCCCAUCACUAGACGUUUCAUUGCGUGUGUCCUGAGUAGGCACUCUAAUUCCGUGUGCACAACGUUACCGGCAGGAUUUUCAAAUCGCAUGAUUUUCCACCUUUAAAAAGGUACAUGCGAGCAGAUUUAGUAGGGAGUACUUUUCCUCGACUGUCACUAUCUUGCUCCCCAGGAAAAAAUUAAGCGUCACGCAAGUCAAUUCGCAUGCAAUGUCGAUGGUAAAAGCUCAAAUUGCGUCUGAAUUUUUUUUAAAGCCUUUUAGUGAGUCUCCAUGACGUGUCCUUUUACCUUGAUUCGGCUUAAGAGAUUUCAGUUUUCAAAACGAACCUCAGUUGAGUCCCCGAGAUACUGAGUGGAUGCACUGCAGUCUGACUUUCAAGUUUUCAGGCAUGGGUUUCAGGCAUAAACCACUUCUUCUCCUAUUUCUAGCCGCCAUAUUUCAGGUGCAGUUUUCUCCAUGUACCUCCGAUUCAACUCAAAAAUAUGCUCAGCUAGCCGGACCGGUGGCGAAUCAACUACCAACGCAGGAGGCUCCCGACGAAAAAGCAGAGAUUUCCGCAAAGAUAAAAGAAAAACUGGCAGAGAUGGAAUCCUUGAGGAAGGAGAAGGAAGAGCUUCAGAAAACGCAGCAUGGGGAGAUCCGCGCCAAAGCAGACGAGCUGAAGACAGAAUUCCAGGCUGAAGAGAAACUACAGAAAGAGGAGAGAGUCAAGAUCAAUGAAAUCCAAAAAAAGCCCAGGAGGGUUACAGAAAAUUGAUCGUGAAAUUCGAGAGCUCAUCAGGGAAGUCAGACGUAACAGACGUGAUGCGGAGAAGAAGGCAGACCUGGAAAAACAGCUUGCGCAAAAGCGGGAGGAACGUACUGCGCUGGAAAACGAGACUAAAAAGAGUAGGAACGCUAUUGCGGAUCAGAGGAAAGUCCGAGUUGACGCUCUGCAAAAGAAAUCUGAUGAGAUGAUGGCCGAGAAAAGAAAGUUGGAAGAGGACACCCGCAAGGAAGUCCGUGAGAUUGAGAGAGAACUGAAAACCGUGCAGGAAGAGUUGACGCAACUGCGAAAAGAUUUAAGGAGAGCAAAUUGGGGAUUCUGAGGACGAUAUACUUGAAUGGCCUGUGUCAAACUAUCAAAACUAGUCAUCAAAAUAUCAAGGUCAGGCGAUAUGAUUGGCUUACUCGAUGACUUGGACCAAUCACAGCCUUUGACCUUGACAUUUUGAUGGAGUAUUUUGAUAGUGUGAAACAGGCUAGUCACUUCGAGUUUCAAGAAAACCGAAUAUCGAAGGUGAAACUACCAAACCACGUAUCUCGGUUUGCGAUGUUGUAGAAUUUCUGUCAUACUUUAUUUUUUAAAUGGAAAACUGUUCAAAGUCCAUUUUUGGAAACGUCCGUGUUUUUCCUUUUCAUGCGAGAAAACUCUGUGAACAUUUCAAGAAAGGAUAUUGAUUUGUUCUACCUCAAAAAAAUUAAAAUGAGAGCGGAGAUAUUUAAACACCGCAAACGAGAUACGUGGUCUGGUAGUUUCACCAUCGAUAUGUUUUUGAUCCUGCGAAGGUCUUCAGAAACGGCUUUUGACUAUUUCAUUGUUUUCUCCUUUAAAAAUAUAAAAGUAGUAUUUUGUAUUCAUGAGGCAUUGUUGUACAGGGCUAUAAUACGUGGGUUUGCAGAGUAUUGAAAUGUUAUUUCUGAUUUGCUUAAGUCUCAUAAGAACCAAUUAUGUUUUUUUGUCUCAAAGGGGUUUUGAAAACUGAUAUGCAACUAUUCUGAAGUGUUCUGUUCUAUUUUUUCUAAAAAAAUAUAAAAUAGUAUUUACUCCUUGAGUAUUAUUUGAACAGGAUUAUUAAUCGCUUCAGUAACCGUUGCUCUGUUUGUAUAAAAAUAUGUAGCCUAUAAACUGUGUUGAAUACUUUUCUUUUUUACAAAUAUAGCAAGCAAAAUGAAAUUUACUUGAAACCGCAUUCGCUCUUUUUCUCAUUUUGUCACGAGGUGAUAAAAACAUAUUUUUUUUCCAAGUAUUAGGUGAGGAAAUUAUCUUAUUUCCAUCCAAGAGUAUUGCUGCACUUUUUUUAUUGUUCUUCUAUUUUUUGGAAAAAAAAUUUAUAACAAAAAUUAAAAGCAGGAAAGCAAUUAUUCCUUUAGGGAACAUGAAUAUCUAAGCAAUUAAGAAAUGUGUUGAUGUUUUAAUGUCUCCAUGCUAUUUUGCAUUUGAAAUGGUCUAUAUGACCAUGCUAAAAAUUUUAAAUGGAAGUGAUCUAUGGUCUGGAAAUUGCUGAAGAAUUCCAUAGUAUUGGCAAACUUUCAGUAAAUUCAUGCAUCGAAAUUAAAAAACACAUAGAAUUUUGUUUUGAUUGUUUUAUUCGGACUAAAUUUUGAUUACAAAGAAUGUAAUUAUGUGGAUCCAAAGAGGGAUAUAGAAUUCAGGAGCACUUCAUUCUAUUAACCAGGAAUCUUUCCAUCUGCUGAAACACGAGAAAAUACGUUUAUUAGUAUUAAAAUUGGAACAGCUUUCAGAUCCGAAAAAUUGCUAGCACAAAGUGGGAAUGUUCAAGUAUCAAGGAUCGGAAUAAGCAAGUGUUCCGCUCGCCUUGGUGAGGCAAAAGGUGAUGAAUUCUGAUCAAUUCAAAUUAAAAAGCAAAGAAAAUGUAUACAAAAUUUGACAUUCAAGUGUAUUUGCAAAAUUUUUAGAUACAUUUUUAGCAGAACGAUUAAAUAAUUUGCAUGAAUCGAGAAUUAACGCUCUAUUAAAAUUUCAUUUUUUAAUAAAAUUUAAAAGUCAUUUGCAACGCAUAAUCACUUACUGAAUGUUAUACAAGCGACAAACCUUCCCUUUUCCUCAGAGUUUCAAGAGAUACGUUAAUGUUAAAUUUGAGAAGAUGAGAAGAAGGAAAAAAACGAAAAAAGAAGUAGAAAAAAAAUAACAAAUCAAUCAUUUGGCAGGUAAAGGAUCUCACCUAUUAUUACAGAUGGUCGGACUCAGGGAGAGGAACUUAUAGGGAGAUGAUGUCGAAGGAGGUCCUUUCCUUUCCGUUGAGGGCGAUGACGUCGAAGACGACGCGUUCCUUUCCGUUGAGGGAGACGAUGUCGACAACAUUACGUUCCUUUCCGUUGAGGGCGACGAUGUCAACGGUGUUGCGUUCUUUGCCGUUUAAGGCGACGAUGUCCAUGGCGUUGCGCUCUUUGCCGUUGAGGGCGACGAUGUCAAUGACGUUCUUCUCUUGUCCGUACAUGUUGGAGUUUGGUUGGGGUUUUUAAAGGCUGAAAUGCAAAGUAGGACAACUAUAAGUGGAAAAUAAUGACUGAACGUCGGUAAAUAGUUCCCUUGAGGGUGGAGAGUUUCCGAAAGUUAAGGCUGCUAGACAAAGGUAAGGCUGUUUUAAUUAACUUAGGUAUACUCAAAAGUCCUUCAUACCUUUGAUCGGACAUGAAUCUAAACUUCAAUUUGAGACGUGAGACGUUUAGUCCUAAAAAAAAAAAAAAAAAAAAAAAAAAACUCGUAAUCCGGGUGAACUCAUUGAGAGCGUUUACUGAGACUGCGCCAGGAAAUAUCUGUCUGUAAGAAACGAUUUCCGAAAAUAAAAUAUUUUCAAUCAUGCUUUUUAGGUAGCUUGACGAGCGUACCUAAAAUUCCAAAAAUUCAGACAGAGAGAAAUCAGAAAAGCAGUGACUUAAACUAGUAGUAUCGUUUUAAUUUGGCCUACGAAAUGCUCUGUUAAUGAAAUUACGGUUCUAAUAGGCUCAAGAAUUUGGGUGACCGGUCUUUCACAAACACCUAGUUAACGUAAAUUCUAAAAUAUUCCCUCGCUCCUCAGAAUUGUUGUAUUGAGGGGUUCUAAUGAAACUUUCAAGCGCUCGGUUUAAAAUUGAAUACUCGUGGAGGAAAAGUGAAUCAGUUCUCCAAAUACUCCUUCAAUUUAUUUUCAGACGCAUUUAUAUAUCUUAAAAAGCAAAAGAAAAUCGCUCUUUUGACAUUUUUCUACAAAUUUAAAAAACAAAAGUAUUAAAUUUUGCAUUGAAAUAUUUUCUCAGAGUAGCUGAUUUUGUAUCUUAUUACACUGGUUGAAGAAAAUCGUAGAAGGGAAUGAUGAACAUACCUGAGAAAAGUAGAAGCUUGAGCUAGUGAAUACUGACUUGAUUUGUUUGUAAUCAAACGGGGUAUUUAUACUAGGCCCUGUGCUCAUUAUCAGUCAAUGAAAUGGCGUGGUUUCGAGGGGAAGCGUAUCCAAGCGCUGGAGGCUGGAACUUCGUACGAUCAUCCGAUGCAGAACUUGAUAAAAGCUUUAAAGCACUCUCCUCUGUUUACACUGAUAACUAAUUAAAAUUAAAGAUCAAUUUUUCUGAAUUUUUGUACAUCAGAUUAAAAUAUCUUAAAUUACCGAAAGUUCAAUUUAUUUGGAAUUACUGAUCUUCGAAGAUUAAAUGAGGGGCUUGGAGGACAUGACACACAAGUGCAGUUUUUGAAAAAAUAUGAGUUAUUAAUGGCUUCAAGUAAAACUAGCCCUAAUGCAUAUUCUAUGAAAAAUUCGCUAUCUAAGUCCAAUUUUUAAGCAUCAAAAAGUUA
rnacentral:lncRNA from 1 species